GAACUUCUUAUGCUUAGGUCAUAAAGAAAGGGGCAUUGGUGCUUUUCAAAUCUCUAAGACAAGCUUACAGUGAUGCUGCUGGGCUCCUUGUAUGUGAUGAUUUAUGCAUGGACUCUGGGCAUGGCAUUCUCAUGGGACUGCUGGAAACAGAGAAGAAUCGUUUCCAAAUCUCUGGCUCUCCUGUCUAGCAGUUUGUUCCCAGCCUUCAGAACCUGUCUUGAAACCUGGGCAGGCACUCUGCCUCACUUGAGACAUCUAGGACUUCAGGUUUGAGACUUGGCCCUGGUAAGUGGAAUUCUAGCUAAGCCCUUAAGAUCUGAGUUUGUCUCCUGUUUCUGCCUCCUGCAAACUGUGUGACUCUGGGCCUCAGCUUCCAUUCCUCUCAAGUUUUCUCUCGUGUCCCACAUACUUCAUAGUGCUUGUUAUAAUCAUAAU
rnacentral:lncRNA from 1 species